CCAAGCUCCACUCUUGUGAUUUUGAUGCAAAUUUUAGAUUUACGCCUCACUACCAGGAGGCGCUGAUGUCACUUCUCUACAUGCAUAGCUUGUAUCACUGAUUUUAACACACAACUAAAGAUAUCGUGACGUCAUGUUCCCGCGAAAUUUGUCGCCGCGUUUUUCAAUUGUUUCAAAAUUUAAAGAGACAAAAGAAAUAUGGCGCACAUGGUUGCACAUGGUGUGAUGGUGGCAGCGUAGGUGAUUGAAUUUCCAGUUUUUUCUAGGUGUUUAGGUUUGUCAAUAACUUCUGCUGAUGAGAUGCAGUAACAGGAGGAGAAGCUAGAAAUUAAAAAGAGGAAGAAACUAUGCAUCAUCAGAGGGUGUAUUAAGGAAAACAGCAGGAUGUUCUCCUUCCCCUUAGAGAGAAAAGAUAAGAAGAGGAUGGCACAGUGGAUGGAAGUAUGUGACAACCCAAAGAAAUUCUGAGUGAUCUGUAGUAGCUACUUUAAAGAAAAAUACUUCAUGAGGAAAAGAUUAACAACAUCAGCAGUUCCAACACUGAACUUACUUGUGUCAGAGACUACCUCUAUUAAAAUAGAGCAACAAGACAC